rnacentral:rRNA from 1 species
UACGAAGGGGGCUAGCGUUGCUCGGAAUCACUGGGCGUAAAGGGUGCGUAGGCGGGUCUUUAAGUCAGGGGUGAAAUCCUGGAGCUCAACUCCAGAACUGCCUUUGAUACUGAAGAUCUUGAGUUCGGGAGAGGUGAGUGGAACUGCGAGUGUAGAGGUGAAAUUCGUAGAUAUUCGCAAGAACACCAGUGGCGAAGGCGGCUCACUGGCCCGAUACUGACGCUGAGGCACGAAAGCGUGG